UUACACCCGUUACCCACUGGAUUUGAAAAG
rnacentral:piRNA from 1 species